CGACAAACGUGGACGUUUGGGGGGAGAAUUGUCGAUAAAAAAAACGAAUGAUGUCAGGCCGGACAAGCCUAUCCAAAACUAACCAGGGAAUACCUUUCGGAAUGAUGGCGCGGUGAUCCAUUGAGCGAUGCCCACACGCUCCAAGGCGGAGGAGAUCUUCCAGCUGCUUGGUCACACUCGGCUCCAAACGGAGAAGGAAGAGGAUCAAUCGGAAAGGAGAGAGCGAGAGCUGAAGAAAGCAAUUACUACCAGCGCCAUGCUGCUCAAUGGGAGCCUUCCAAAUGUGGGGAACGCAAAAAUAAACAAAUGAAGGAAAAGUGAAAAGUGACAUCAGCUCAGCAGAAAAAGGUGAGAAACACUCUCAUACUCACAUUUAAGGAAGUCAAAGGUAACAACAACAGUCGCAAAAAAAAAAAAAUGGCAGUAGUCCACCCCCGAGUCUCCCCCAUAAUCCUGUCAUCCACUCUAAUCUCUAUGACGACGACACGGUAGCUCCAUAUGAAUGAUGAAUGAUGAUGAAUAUUCAUCAGGUGUAUCUGAGCGCCUCAUUCAAAAUCCUUCCUACUCACGGCUCGGCUUGCUAGAAAAUUGGGAUAAGAAAAGCGCAGCAAUGAAGUGCAAAAAAAAACACCCACAAAAAUACAUAAAAAAAUAUAUAUGAAAAAGAUUCACCAAUAUCGCAAAAUACCUGUGUUGGAGUUGCUACUGUAUGUAUGUAUAUAAUUCAAAGGGGCCGUAUAGAAGCUUAAUCGGACGCUUUAAUGCUAAAAUAACUUGGCGGACAUUUUGGAGUCGGAGCAUACACAGGCAGUAAAGUAAGCGUUUAAUUGCAUUGGUUUAUUUCUGCAUAAGCCUCGUUAGGCGGCUAAAUAUUCAUGCACGCUUUUUGCCCUUAGAAGAAGAAGCAAGGUGUGCUUCAUCAUCAACGGGUGCUGACUUCAGAUCUGUUGGAGCAAACUUACAGAAACUGUAAUUUCAUACCUACAGGGUUCCAAUCAUUCAUUCAUUCAUUUGGGUUGCUGGAGCCUAUCCCAGGUGUCUUCGGUACAGCCUGGACUGGUGGCCAGCCAAUCACAGGGCACAUAUAGACAAACAACCAUUCACACUCACAUUCAUACCUAUGGACAAUUUGGAGUCGCCAAUUAUUGUUGUUGUUAUUAUUAUUAUUAUUAAAAUUCAGGAUUGAAAUGAAAGCAGGGAGAUACAGGAAGCCCAAACUUUUAAUCUAAUUAAUUCUUAUACUUUUCAUAACUGCAUUAAAGAUUUUUUUAAAUCAUGCAAUUAAUAUUUUACAAUAAA